GAACGAACGCUGGCGGCGUGCUUAACACAUGCAAGUCGAACGCGAACGGGACUUGGUCCCUAGUAGAGUGGCGCACGGGUGAGUAACGCGUAGAUAACCUAUCUUCCUGUCUGGAAUAAUACGCCGAAAGGAGUACUAAUACCGGAUACUCUUGCUUUUUCAUAAGUAUAGCAAGCAAAGGUGGCCUCUGUAUAUGCUACUGCAGGGAGAGGGGUCUGCGUACCAUUAGCUAGUAGGUGGGGUAAGGGCCUACCUAGGCUACGAUGGUUAGCGGGUCUGAGAGGAUGAUCCGCCACACUGGCACUGGAACACGGGCCAGACUCCUACGGGAGGCAGCAGUGAGGAAUAUUGCGCAAUGGGGGCAACCCUGACGCAGCGACGCCGCGUGAGUGAAGGAAGGCCUUCGGGUCGUAAAGCUCUGUCAAGAGGAAAGAAGUGCAUAGCGGUUAAUACCCGUUAUGUUUGACGGUACCUCUAAAGGAAGCACCGGCUAACUCCGUGCCAGCAGCUGC
rnacentral:rRNA from 1 species